rnacentral:rRNA from 1 species
AGCUCCAAUAGCGUAUAUUAAAGUUGCUGCAGUUAAAAAGCUCGUAGUUGGAUUUGUGGCGCGGUCGUCCGGCGGGGCUUCCGGUUUCAUAGUAUCCCGGGGCCGUUUGUCUGGGUUCUUGGCCGCCCCAUUCUUCGGUUGCGUGUCGCUGGCAUUAGGUUGUCGGCCUCUUCGCGCCGAUCGUUUACUGUGAAAAAAUUAGAGUGUUCAAAGCAGGCUUAGGCCGUUGGAUACAUUAGCAUGGAAUAAUGAGAUAGGGCCACGGCGGUCUAUUUUGUUGGUUUGCACGUUGUGGUAAUGAUUAACAGGAACGGUUGGGGGUAUUCGUAUUCAAUUGUCAGAGGUGAAAUUCUUGGAUUUAUGGAAGACGAACUACUGCGAAAGCAUUUACCAAGGAUGU